rnacentral:rRNA from 1 species
UACGUAGGGGGGCAAGCGUUGUCCGGAAUCAUUGGGCGUAAAGAGCGUGUAGGCGGCCAUACAGGUCCGUUGUGAAAACUGGAGGCUUAACCUCCAGACGUCGAUGGAAACCGUAUGGCUAGAGUCCGGAAGAGGAGAGUGGAAUUCCUGGUGUAGCGGUGAAAUGCGCAGAUAUCAGGAAGAACACCCGUGGCGAAGGCGGCUCUCUGGGACGGUACUGACGCUGAGACGCGAAAGCGUGGGGAGCGAACAGG